rnacentral:rRNA from 1 species
UACGGAGGAUGCGAGCGUUAUCCGGAUUUAUUGGGUUUAAAGGGUGCGUAGGCGGACAAAUAAGUCAGUGGUGAAAACCUGCAGCUUAACUGUAGAUGUGCCGUUGAUACUGUUAGUCUUGAGUGUGGUCAAGGUAGGCGGAAUGUGUAAUGUAGCGGUGAAAUGCUUAGAUAUUACACAGAACACCGAUUGCGAAGGCAGCUUGCUGGGCCAUUACUGACGCUGAUGCACGAAAGCGUGGGGAUCGAACAGGAUUAGAUACCCUGGUAGUCCACGCCGUAAACGAUGAUCACUCGCUGUUGGCGAUACACAGUCAGCGGCUAAGCAAAAGCAUUAAGUGAUCCACCUGGGGAGUACGGCCGCAAGGCUGAAACUCAAAGGAAUUGACGGGGGCCCGCACAAGCGGAGGAACAUGUGGUUUAAUUCGAUGAUACGCGAGGAACCUUACCUGGGCUUAAAUGUAGAGUGCAUGAGUGGGAAACCAUUCUUUUCUUCGGAACUCUCUGCAAGGUGCUGCAUGGUUGUCGUCAGCUCGUGCCGUGAGGUGUCGGGUUAAGUCCCAUAACGAGCGCAACCCUUAUCGUUAGUUGCCAGCGGGUCAAGCCGGGAACUCUAACGAAACUGCCGGUGUAAACCGAGAGGAAGGUGGGGAUGACGUCAAAUCAGCACGGCCCUUAUGUCCAGGGCUACACACGUGUUACAAUGGCCGGUACAGAGGGCAGCUACCUGUUGACAGGAUGCGAAUCUCGAAAGCCGGUCUCAGUUCGGAUCGGAGUCUGCAACUCGACUCCGUGAAGCUGGAUUCGCUAGUAAUCGCGCAUCAGCCAUGGCGCGGUGAAUACGUUCCCGGGCCUUGUACACACCGCCCGUCAAGCCAUGGAAGUUGGGGGUACCUGAAGUCCGUAACCGCAAGGAGCGGCCUAGGGUAAAACCAGUGACUGGGGCU